rnacentral:rRNA from 1 species
UACAGAGGUCUCAAGCGUUGUUCGGAAUUACUGGGCGUAAAGCGUGCGCAGGCGGUUUGCUAAGACAGGUGUGAAAUCCCCGGGCUUAACCUGGGAACUGCGCUUGUAACUGGCAAGCUAGAGUGUGGCAGAGGGGGGUGGAAUUCCACGUGUAGCAGUGAAAUGCGUAGAGAUGUGGAGGAACACCGAUGGCGAAGGCAGCCCCCUGGGCUAACACUGACGCUCAUGCACGAAAGCGUGGGGAGCAAACAGG